rnacentral:rRNA from 1 species
AUUGAACGCUGGCGGCAGGCCUAACACAUGCAAGUCGAACGAGUGGCGGACGGGUGAGUCAUGUCUGGGAAACUGCCUGAUGGAGGGGGAUAACUACUGGAAACGGUCGCUAAUACCGCAUACCAUCGGAUGUGCCCAGAUGGGAUUAGCUAGUAGGUGGGGUAAAGGAUCACCGAGGCGACGCUCCCUAGCUGGUCUGAGAGGAUGACCAGCCACACUGGAACUGAGACACGGUCCAGACUCCUACGGAAGGCAGCAGUGGGGAAUAGUGCACACUGGAGGCAAGCCUGAUACAGCCAGGCCGCGGGUAUGAAGAAGGCCGUCGGGUUGUAAAGUACUUUCAGCGGGGAGGCGUUACCCGCAGAAGAGGCACCGGCUAACUCCGUGCCAGCAGCCGCGGAAAUAC